AAGUCUUGCAAGGGAUCAGUAGAGUGGCAAACGGGUGAGUAACGCGUGGGCGACCUACCUUCGAGUGGGGGAUAACCUUCCGAAAGGAGGGCUAAUACCGCAUGACAGCCCAUGUUAGGAUACAUGGGACUCAAAGCCGGGGAUCGCAAGACCUGGCGCUUGGAGAGGGGCCCGCGUCCGAUUAGCUAGUUGGUGAGGUUACGGCUCACCAAGGCUCCGAUCGGUAUCCGGCCUGAGAGGGCGGACGGACACACUGGGACUGAGACACGGCCCAGACUCCUACGGGAGGCAGCAGUGGGGAAUUUUGGGCAAUGGGCGCAAGCCUGACCCAGCAACGCCGCGUGAAGGACGAAAUCCCUCUGGG
rnacentral:rRNA from 1 species